rnacentral:rRNA from 1 species
AGAACGAACGCUGGCGGCAUGCCUAACACAUGCAAGUCGAACGUGAUCCAUGACUUCGGUUGUGGUGAAAGUGGCAAACGGGUGAGUAACGCGUGGGAAUCUGCCCAGAGGUAGGGAAUAACCGCGGGAAACUGCGGCUAAUACCCUAUGUGCCCUACGGGGCAAAGAUUUAUCGCCUUUGGAGGAGCCCGCGUCGGAUUAGGUAGUUGGUAGGGUAACGGCCUACCAAGCCUACGAUCCGUAGCUGGUCUGAGAGGAUGAUCAGCCACACUGGGACUGAGAUACGGCCCAGACUCCUACGGGAGGCAGCAGUGGGGAAUAUUGGACAAUGGGGGCAACCCUGAUCCAGCAAUGCCGCGUGAGUGAUGAAGGCCUUCGGGUUGUAAAGCUCUUUCGGCGGGAAGAUGAUGACGGUACCCGCAGAAGAAGCCCGGCUAACUUCGUGCCAGCAGCCGC